GGUUAAGCGACUAAGCGUACACGGUGGAUGCCCUGGCAGUCAGAGGCGAUGAAGGACGUGCUAAUCUGCGAAAAGCGUCGGUAAGGUGAUAUGAACCGUUAUAACCGGCGAUGUCCGAAUGGGGAAACCCAGUGCAAUUCGUUGCACUAUCGUUAACUGAAUACAUAGGUUAACGAGGCGAACCGGGGGAACUGAAACAUCUAAGUACCCCGAGGAAAAGAAAUCAACCGAGAUUCCCCCAGUAGCGGCGAGCGAACGGGGAGCAGCCCAGAGUCUGAAUCAGCUUGUGUGUUAGUGGAACGGUCUGGAAAGUCCGACGGUACAGGGUGAUAGUCCCGUACACCAAAAUGCACAGGUUGUGAACUCGAAGAGUAGGGCGGGACACGUGGUAUCCUGUCUGAAUAUGGGGGGACCAUCCUCCAAGGCUAAAUACUCCUGACUGACCGAUAGUGAACCAGUACCGUGAGGGAAAGGCGAAAAGAACCCCGGCGAGGGGAGUGAAAAAGAACCUGAAACCGUGUACGUACAAGCAGUGGGAGCACCUUCGGGUGUGACUGCGUACCUUUUGUAUAAUGGGUCAGCGACUUAUAUUCUGUAGCAAGGUUAACCGUAUAGGGGAGCCGCAGGGAAACCGAGUCUUAACUGGGCGUUAAGUUGCAGGGUAUAGACCCGAAACCCGGUGAUCUAGCCAUGGGCAGGUUGAAGGUUGGGUAACACUAACUGGAGGACCGAACCGACUAAUGUUGAAAAAUUAGCGGAUGACUUGUGGCUGGGGGUGAAAGGCCAAUCAAACCGGGAGAUAGCUGGUUCUCCCCGAAAGCUAUUUAGGUAGCGCCUCGUGAAUUCAUCUUCGGGGGUAGAGCACUGUUUCGGCUAGGGGGUCAUCCCGACUUACCAACCCGAUGCAAACUACGAAUACCGAAGAAUGUUAUCACGGGAGACACACGGCGGGUGCUAACGUCCGUCGUGAAGAGGGAAACAACCCAGACCGCCAGCUAAGGUCCCAAAGUCAUGGUUAAGUGGGAAACGAUGUGGGAAGGCACAGACAGCCAGGAUGUUGGCUUAGAAGCAGCCAUCAUUUAAAGAAAGCGUAAUAGCUCACUGGUCGAGUCGGCCUGCGCGGAAGAUGUAACGGGGCUAAACCAUGCACCGAAGCUGCGGCAGCGACACUAUGUGUUGUUGGGUAGGGGAGCGUUCUGUAAGCCUGCGAAGGUGACCUGUGAGGGUUGCUGGAGGUAUCAGAAGUGCGAAUGCUGACAUAAGUAACGAUAAAGCGGGUGAAAAGCCCGCUCGCCGGAAGACCAAGGGUUCCUGUCCAACGUUAAUCGGGGCAGGGUGAGUCGACCCCUAAGGCGAGGCCGAAAGGCGUAGUCGAUGGGAAACAGGUUAAUAUUCCUGUACUUGGUGUUACUGCGAAGGGGGGACGGAGAAGGCUAUGUUAGCCGGGCGACGGUUGUCCCGGUUUAAGCAUGUAGGCUGGUUGUCCAGGCAAAUCCGGAUAAUCAAGGCUGAGGUGUGAUGACGAGGCACUACGGUGCUGAAGUAACAAAUGCCCUGCUUCCAGGAAAAGCCUCUAAGCAUCAGGUAACAUUAAAUCGUACCCCAAACCGACACAGGUGGUCAGGUAGAGAAUACCAAGGCGCUUGAGAGAACUCGGGUGAAGGAACUAGGCAAAAUGGUGCCGUAACUUCGGGAGAAGGCACGCUGGUGUGUAGGUGAAGUCCCUGCGGAUGGAGCUGAGACCAGUCGAAGAUACCAGCUGGCUGCAACUGUUUAUUAAAAACACAGCACUGUGCAAACACGAAAGUGGACGUAUACGGUGUGACGCCUGCCCGGUGCCGGAAGGUUAAUUGAUGGGGUUAUCCGUAAGGAGAAGCUCUUGAUCGAAGCCCCGGUAAACGGCGGCCGUAACUAUAACGGUCCUAAGGUAGCGAAAUUCCUUGUCGGGUAAGUUCCGACCUGCACGAAUGGCGUAAUGAUGGCCAGGCUGUCUCCACCCGAGACUCAGUGAAAUUGAACUCGCUGUGAAGAUGCAGUGUACCCGCGGCAAGACGGAAAGACCCCGUGAACCUUUACUAUAGCUUGACACUGAACAUUGAGCCUUGAUGUGUAGGAUAGGUGGGAGGCUUUGAAGCGUGGACGCCAGUCUGCGUGGAGCCAACCUUGAAAUACCACCCUUUAAUGUUUGAUGUUCUAACGUUGGCCCCUUACCGGGGUUGCGGACAGUGUCUGGUGGGUAGUUUGACUGGGGCGGUCUCCUCCCAAAGCGUAACGGAGGAGCACGAAGGUUAGCUAAUCCUGGUCGGACAUCAGGAGGUUAGUGCAAUGGCAUAAGCUAGCUUGACUGCGAGCGUGACGGCGCGAGCAGGUGCGAAAGCAGGUCAUAGUGAUCCGGUGGUUCUGAAUGGAAGGGCCAUCGCUCAACGGAUAAAAGGUACUCCGGGGAUAACAGGCUGAUACCGCCCAAGAGUUCAUAUCGACGGCGGUGUUUGGCACCUCGAUGUCGGCUCAUCACAUCCUGGGGCUGAAGUAGGUCCCAAGGGUAUGGCUGUUCGCCAUUUAAAGUGGUACGCGAGCUGGGUUUAGAACGUCGUGAGACAGUUCGGUCCCUAUUCUGCCGUGGGCGCUGGAGAAUUGAGGGGGCUGCUCCUAGUACGAGAGGACCGGAGUGGACGCAUCACUGGUGUUCGGGUUGUCAUGCCAAUGGCACUGCCCGGUAGCUAAAUGCGGAAGAGAUAAGUGCUGAAAGCAUCUAAGCACGAAACUUGCCCCGAGAUGAGUUCUCCCUGAGACUUUAAGUCUCCUGAAGGAACGUUAAAGACGAUGACGUUGAUAGGCCGGGUGUGUAAGCGCAGCGAUGCGUUGAGCUAACCGGUACUAAUGAACCGUGAGGCUUAACCUU
rnacentral:rRNA from 1 species